AUGUUACUCCUCUUCUUGCUUUUCUUCACUAUUGCUGAUAUCGCAGAGACUGCAGACAACAGCAUUAAACCAGAAAAACCCUCCAGAUCUGUAACUGAAGGCAGCAACAUCACACUGUCCUGCACAUAUACUGGAUCAGUUUACAGUCUCCACUGGUAUCAACAAAAACCUGGAUCAAGACCAGAGUUUCUGCUGCUGAUUGAUGAAGGCAGUGGACGUGUCACACAAGCUGAACCACCUCAUACACGAUUAUCUAUGAAACUUGAUAAAAUGGGAAAGAAAGUGGAUCUGCUCAUCUCCUCUGCUGCAGUGACAGACUCUGCACUGUACUACUGCGCUCUGACGCCCACAGUGACAGGAAACACAACUACACUGUACAAAAAGCACUACACAUGA